rnacentral:lncRNA from 1 species
GGAGUGUCAGAGAAAAAAAAGACCAAUGUGUCCUGGCAAACACAGCUCUGGAAACCCUAUGGCUGCUCGCUUGCAUUCCAAUCUUCCCUAGAAACAAUCCAAAAGCAGAAGGAAGAGAAAAGUCAAUGGCUAAUGUGGUUUAAAGUGAGGCUUUUCUAGUCAAGUUCUUCAACACCACAUAUUCUCCCAAGGUCUAGACUGCCAUGCUUCAUUUGUCUGCUCAGGUCUUGGCCAUCAGGAAUACAGAAGCAAUUAAGAUCCCAGCUUCUACAGACAUCCUGGAAGGCGAGACAGGAAGUGAACGCAGCUGACGUUUCCUUCCCUUUCUUGUGGAUUCAAAAGCUGAAAGCCCUGAGAUGGUGACCUUCUGAAGAUUAUUAAUGAGAACGCCACCCAGAGUUAGGAUUCUCUUAUAGUGAAAUCUAACAUCACAAGGUCACUGCCCGGCGAUGAGUCCCUUGAAACUGGUACUUGUCGGUUAUUCAGGAGAGCUUGGCUGUGUGGGAGCCAGAAGGAGCUAGAAUGAGGACAGGCUUGGGACUCAUCUCACACCCUAAGCGUGGCCAAGUUUGCAGAGCAAUAUCCUGGAACUAUAUGAGUAAAGUGCCGUAAAUCCCCUGCCGUGGGAAGAUAAGUGCCCUGAGUUUUGUAAGCUAAACGCACACUGCUGCUGAAAUCUGAUUGGAAACUCCGUGAUGUGGGGACUGAAAACCGCAAGCAGGAGGCAGGGUUUAAUCUCCUGCUGAAUGAUGGUUCAAGAUAGACCAAGAGAGAGACCUGCCGACUGAUAAAGCAGUCGAUAGCACAGAUGGGAGAUACCCACAGGGAGGGUAGCCGAGGAAGGGCGAGCAUUCCCGGGUCAUCCAGAUGCUCUCGGCUUCUCACUGGGAUAGAUGAGACCCGAACCUCCAGCUACUACGUGCUCACAAUGCGGAGCCCCUGGCAUCUCACCUCUUAGGUAGACUGCCUUAGUCGGGAAUUCGCACGCCUUCAGUCGUCCCACGUGACCAUUAGAGAUGGUAUGAGGCGGUCUUUGAAAGGAAUCUAUGUACUGUAGGAGAGUCCAUAUUCUAGCAAAGAUUUU